rnacentral:rRNA from 1 species
UACGUAGGGUGCACGCGGUGUCCGGAAUUAUUGGGCGUAAAGAGCUCGUAGGCGGUCUGUCGCGUCUGCUGUGAAAACUCGGGGCUUAACCCCGGGCCCGCAGUGGGUACGGGCAGACUAGAGUGCGGUAGGGGAGACUGGAAUUCCUGGUGUAGCGGUGAAAUGCGCAGAUAUCAGGAGGAACACCGGUGGCGAAGGCGGGUCUCUGGGCCGUAACUGACGCUGAGGAGCGAAAGCAUGGGGAGCGAACAGG